GUCUACGGCCAUACAACCCUGAACGCGCCCGAUCUCGUCUGAACUCGGAAGCUAAGCAGGGUCGGGCCUGGUUAGUACUUGGAUGGGAGUUCAUAGAGUUAUUCCCAGAGAGGUCCCCU
rnacentral:rRNA from 1 species